rnacentral:rRNA from 1 species
AUUGAACGCUGGCGGAAUGCUUUACACAUGCAAGUCGAACGGCAGCACGGGUGCUUGCACCUGGUGGCGAGUGGCGAACGGGUGAGUAAUGUAUCGGAACGUAUCCAAUAAUGGGGGAUAACUAAUCGAAAGGUUGGCUAAUACCGCAUACGCCCUACGGGGGAAAGCAGGGGAUCUUCGGACCUUGCGUUAAUGGAGCGGCCGAUAUCUGAUUAGCUAGUUGGUGAGGUAAAGGCUCACCAAGGCGAAGAUCAGUAGCUGGUCUGAGAGGACGAACAGCCACACUGGAACUGAGACACGGUCCAGACUUCUACGGGAGGCAGCGGUGGGGAAUUUUGGACAAUGGGGGCAACCCUGAUCCAGCCAUUCCGCGUGAGUGAAGAAGGCCUUCGGGUUGUAAAGCUCUUUCGCAAGGGAAGAAACGAUACAGUCUAAUAAACUGUGUUAAUGACGGUACCUUGAUAAGAAGCACCGGCUAACUACGUGCCAGCCGCCGCAGUAA